ACUACCAAAGUGUUUCAAAGAAGGGUUAUCCUGACGUAGGUCUGCUUUUGGCUUAGAUUAACCUAAGUUAAAUGGAAUCUCCAUCGCCCCGCUUCUGCUUAAAGAAUCAAAUAUGAAACUUCAUACACCUUAAAGUUCAUAGGAUAGGACGAAAAGAGAAUUUUUUGAGGUCCUUAUACUCAUUAUGCCUAGCAUUGAAUAGACUGGGUAUUCACCUUAUCAAGGUCUUAAAUCAAUGAUGGGUUCUAUUGGGUGUCUGCAAAGGCACUUAAAUUGGACCGAACCCUUUGUGUCAGGCUAUUGUUCUCCUGUUCCCUAAAAGUAAUGGAGUAAGACAUCGACUUCUCAAUAAGUCUUUUGAUUACAUGAUGGACUCCCUUGAAAAAAAAAAAGCAUUGGCGCGCGUGUAAACGAGGUGCUCUACCUAACUGAGCUAUAGCCCUUGUGUUUGUGAUACAUAUUUUAUCAUGUCAAUAAUUUCUUGUCAAGAUGAAUAUUAUAUGAUCCAGCAUCCUAUUCUAUUUCUUUGAUCUCUUUGAUCGGUAUUGCUUAUUUUAAUCGGUAU
rnacentral:lncRNA from 1 species